GGGAUAUUGCACAAUGGGGGAAACCCUGAUGCAGCAACGCCGCGUGAGGGAAGAAGGUUUUCGGAUUGUAAACCUCUGUCCUUGGUGAAGAUGAUGACGGUAGCCGAGGAGGAAGCUCCGGCUAACUACGUGCCAGCAGCCGCGGUAAUACGUAGGGAGCGAGCGUUGUCCGGAAUUACUGGGUGUAAAGGGUGCGUAGGCGGGAAGGCAAGUCAGCAGUGAAAACUAUGGGCUUAACUCAUAACGUGCUGUUGAAACUGUUUUUCUUGAGUGAGUCAGAGGCAGGCGGAAUUCCCGGUGUAGCGGUGAAAUGCAUAGAGAUCGGGAGGAACACCAGUGGCGAAGGCGGCCUGCUGGGGCUUAACUGACGCUGAGGCACGAAAGCGUGGGGAGCAAACA
rnacentral:rRNA from 1 species